rnacentral:rRNA from 1 species
UACGAAGGGGGCUAGCGUUGUUCGGAAUUAUUGGGCGUAAAGCGCACGUAGGCGGUUCGUUAAGUCGGAUGUGAAAGCCCUCGGCUCAACUGAGGAAGUGCACCCGAAACUGGCGAGCUUGAGUACGAAAGAGGAUCGCGGAAUUCCCGGUGUAGAGGUGAAAUUCGUAGAUAUCGGGAGGAACACCAGUGGCGAAGGCGGCGAUCUGGGAAGAUACUGACGCUGAGGUGCGAAAGCGUGGGGAGCAAACAGG